UGUGAAGCUAUGGAGCAGUGAUAAGACCAUCAAGAAACUCGCAGUUGUGAGCACGAUUGAUGCCGUAAAAAGGAAAGCUGUGGAAUUUGGAACGUGUCACAAUGAGGACAUGAAGGCUUGUAAAUGUCCAUCUACUUGAUGUAACAGAGGUUGAUGAAGAGGCUUUCGGCUGCUUGGCUGAAUCCAUUGAGAGUGGCACUCAUAUGUUCACUGUGUGCAAUGGUGACUGGAUUUCAGGCAAGUCUAUUCAAACAUCACUACUUUUACUGAAAAGGCACACAUGCUAAUUUUAGGUACACUUUGUAUACCAGAUGUUGUGGUGAUGCGGUGCCGUUGUGGUCUGUGUUGGUCUAAAGGAAUAGUUGAAGGCUAUGCUUCAUGCAUCGGCCAGGAUGUACUGGACGCCUUAGACAAAGGUUCAUCUCUUUGGCCACCAGAAAAACAGGUAGUGAGAAUGAUAGCAGCUGCAUGCCGAAAAGUGGAGGACCGACUUUCUGCGAAAAAAAAAUCAGGAACAUCGCAAACUGUGCUGUCAGCAAGUUCCCACAUUCACUUGGUGACCCUAACUCCAGCUCAAACUCGGUUUCCUCAGUGGUACUAGCCUAUAAGAUUGAAACAAGAAUUGAGAACACCCGCAGAUGCUGUAAGCAUCUCGCAGAGGCACUCUCUGGUAGCACAAAGACAAAAAAAACAAACCUCAAAUUCUUCGUAUGGCUUAAUUGAUUGGCAGCCUGCUACUGUCACAUUAACGCCUGAUGAGCUAGAAUUGUCAAAUAAAGUUUUUGCUGAGCAAGCAUCGAAAGCACCAUGUUAAGAGGGCAUCCCCCUCCAGAGAAAGGCAAUGGGGGAAUGCUACCCUGUGAUCAGAGCCCUUAUAAAUUCUUCAGAGCCAGUACACUCAGCCAAGGAAAUUAAAGAGAUGUGGCCAUUACUGUUUAAGAAGGAACAUCUUCUCGACCAUUUCCAAAGGUAUACGUUUCAUUGUUGAGCUAUUAGGGACUUUUAUUCAUAUUGUGUAAGUAUAGUAGUCUGAGCAGCAGAAAAAAGAAACGGAAAUGGUUGCCUAAAUUGAACAAAAGCCAAUUGUAAAAUUGAGGGGUAGUGAGUGAUUUCACCAUUAAUCUCUGAUUGUUGCAGUCUGAGCUUGAGAAUACACCAUUCUUAAUAGCUCUGCCCAUGUGAGUUCCAGGAGCAAAGUGGAAAUGACGAGCUGAGUGAGAAAACUUACAGGGCUGCGAUUAGACGGAAGGCUGAGCAACAUACCAAGAGCUGUAGUGCUACCGCUUACAUCGUUCUUACGCUCAAACACGGAGAAUGAUCCAGUGCUGGAGUGGAGUUUGACGAUAACGCAAGCAGAGACCAGUUUCGGUGACAAGGAUGCUGCAUCGGUCGGUCUUAGAUCUCUCGUGGUGUCCUACUUCAAAGAUGAUCUCAGCCAACUAGUUCAAGUACAUGAGGUCAGCCCAUCUUUCAAUGCACCUGCCAACUGUUUGUGGAUAGGAAGCUCGUAAUACCAAACAUCGGCUUGAAGCUGGCUAUUGAGUACCUGUUUGCUGCCCACUACUGCUUGAACAUCAAAUAUGCCGCAGGUGUAGGGGCAACCCUUCAGUUUCUUCAGAGAUACCUCGUCGGCAUAUUAGAAGAGGAGGGCACAUGCCAGCAAAUGAAAAGGAGCUCGAAAGUUUUGGCGGCGUGCGCAGAGAUUGCGUCAUUCAAAAAGAAAUGGAACUCUCUCUUCUGAUGGCCGAAGACAGGCUCGUGUUCUGGCUGAGGUUGAUGUUCUUUGAAUACACUAUUGAAAAUUG